rnacentral:rRNA from 1 species
UCAAGCGUUUAAGGGCGUCUGGUGAAUGCCUUGGCACUGAAAGUCGAUGAAGGACGUGAUAUACUGCGAUAAGUUUCGGGGAGUUGUAUGUAAACUUUGAUCCGAAAAUUUCCGAAUGGGAAAACCCAACUCUUUAAGAGUUAUUUCAAACUGAAUACAUAGGUUUGAAAAGGCAACCUAGGGAACUGAAACAUCUAAGUACCUAGAGGAAAAGAAAUCAAUUGAGAUUCCGUCAGUAGUGGCGAGCGAACGCGGAACAGGCCUGUAGUUUUAUUUGUACAACUAGAAAAACCUGGAAAGGUUUGCCAUAGAGGGUGAUAGCCCCGUAAAGGUAAAAGCAAAUAAGAUUCUUGAGUAAAGCGGGACACGAGAAAUCCUGCUUGAAGAUAGGGGGACCACCCUCUAAGCCUAAAUACUCUUCAGUGACCGAUAGUGAACUAGUACCGUGAGGGAAAGGUGAAAAGAACCCCUAUUAGGGGAGUGAAAUAGAACCUGAAACCGGAUGCCUACAAUCAGUCGGAGCUCUAUAUGAGUGACGACGUACCUUUUGUAUAAUGGGUCAGUGACUUUAUCUGUGCAGCAAGCUUAAGCCGAAAAGGUGUAGGCGUAGCGAAAGCGAGUCUGAAUAGGGCGAUGAGUUGUACGGAUAAGAACCCGAAACCUAGUGAUCUAGUUAUGAGCAGGUUGAAGGUAAGGUAACACUUACUGGAGGACCGAACCGGUGCCUGUUGAAAAAGGCUCGGAUGACUUGUGAUUAGGGGUGAAAGGCCAAUCAAACUGGGAGAUAGCUGGUUUUCCGCGAAAACUAUUUAGGUAGUGCGUUGAAUAAUAAGAUCUUGAGGGGUAGAGCACUAAAUAGGCUAGGGGGAAGAAAUUCUUACUAAACCUAAUAAAACUCCGAAUACUCAAGAUUGUUUCUCAAUAGACAGACGGUGGGAGCUAACUUCCAUCGUCGAGAGGGAAAAAACCCAGACCACCAUCUAAGGUCCCAAAAUCGUAGUUAAGUGUGAAAGGAUGUGAAGACUCCAAAACAGCCGGGAGGUUGGCUUAGAAGCAGCCAUCCUUUAAAGAAAGCGUAACAGCUCACCGGUCUAAUUAAGAGACUUUGCGCCGAAGAUGUAACGGGGCUCAAACUACGUACCGAAGUUGUGGAUUUAAAGUGUCUACGGACAUUUUAUCUGGUAGCGGAACGUUCUGUAAGUCUGCGAAGGGAUACCCGCGAGGGGUCCUGGAGAUAUCAGAAGUGCGAAUGCUGACAUAAGUAGCGACAAACAGAGUGAAAGACUCUGUCGCCGAAAAUACAAGGGUUCCUGCGUAAAGUUAAUCUUCGCAGGGUUAGUCGGCCCCUAAGGCGAGGGCGAAAGCCGUAGUCGAUGGGAACAAGGUAAAUAUUCCUUGACCUGAUGGUAGUGACGGAUCUCGUAUAUUGUAAGUUCUUAUUGGAUUGAACUUGCCUUGAAGAGGUCCCAGGAAAUAACUCCAUCAUUAAGACCGUACCCUAAACGGACACACGUGUAUUGGUAGAGAAUACCUAGGCGCUUGAGAGAAUGAUGUUGAAGGAACUCGGCAACUUGCCUCUGUAACUUCGGGAUAAAGAGGGCCUUAUUUUGCGCAAGCAGAGUAAGGUGGCACAAGCCAGGGAGUAGCGACUGUUUAACAAAAACACAGGACUCUGCUAACACGUAAGUGGAUGUAUAGGGUCUGACGCCUGCCCGGUGCCGGAAGGUUAAAGCAAGAUGUGCAAGCAUCGAACUGAAGCCCCGGUGAACGGCGGCCGUAACUAUAACGGUCCUAAGGUAGCGAAAUUCCUUGUCGGGUAAGUUCCGACCUGC